GCCCUGGUGGUGCAGUGGUUAAGCACUCAGCUGCUAACUGAAGGGUUGGUGGUUCGAACCCACCCAGUGACC
rnacentral:tRNA from 1 species